ACCGCUUUAAACCAAGAAAGCAGAAGGACUUGGGUUAGUGGGGAGAUGAUCCAGCAUAAGAAAGAGGCAAAAGGGAAACUCCAGAAGAGGGUGAAGGUAGGUUCCAGGAUGACAGCUGCACACAAAGAAGGAAUAGAGGUCAACUAGCUCGUACAGGUCAGAAGACUUCAGGAGAGAUAUCUUCAAGAUACCUGAUACACCAAAACACAUGGAGAGGAGCUGGAGAGGAAAUGCCAUGUGAGGACACAGCGAGAAGAUAGCUAUCUACAAGCCAGGAAGAGAGCUCUCACUAGAAACCAACUUGAUGGUGACCUUGAUCUUGGACUUCCAGCCUCCAGGACUGUGACAAAAUUAAUUUCUGUUGUUUAAGCCACGCGCUCUGUGCUAUUUUGUUAAGGUCCCAGAACCCCGUGGAUUCUAUCCCCAGGACCCAAGGUUAGGAAACCUUGCACCACAGACUCCACUUAUCAGCAUAAAAGAUGUAAGAAAUAGAUUUCAUUGGUGAAAUGAAUUGCUUUCAAAAUAUGUGAAGUGGCUAGAAAUAUUGUCCAGGUGCUUCCAUUCUUGCAUGAUCAGAAUAUAAAAAUCUGGCAAGCAAACCCAACAGCUCAGUACUCUUUGGAGUGGCAUUCUAGGCCUCAGACUCUGUGUGGUCCCGUAUCCCACUACAUGAUAGCCAGCCUGCCAGAUGGUCCCCAGUGAUUCUUACCUUGUGUAGUUACUCCCUUCCCACACUGAAUAGGGAAGAAUGUAACCACUGUAAUGUAACUGGUAGAAUAUUAUGGAAAUGACCAAAUGUGACUCCCAAGGCUGGGUCAGAAAAGACAUUACAGCUUCUGUCUUGCUCUGUCUUGGAUCAUUGCUCUGAGCUUGCACGUUAUGAGAAAUGGAGGGCCAUGUGUUGAGGAACUGAGAUCUGCCAACAACUAACACUAGCUUGCUAGGCAUAUGAGUGAACCACCUUGGAAGAAGAUCCCCGGGCCCAUUCAAGCCUUUAGGUGACUGCAACCCUAGCCAACAUCUUGACUGCAACCUCAUGAGAGACUCCCAGCCAGAAGCAGCCAACAAAGCUGAUCCUGGAUUCCUGACACACAGAAACUAUGUGAUAUAAUCAAUGUUUGUUGUUAAGGCACUAAUUUUGGGGUUAAUUUGUAGCACAGCAAUAGAUAACUAAUAUAUAUCACUUAAUGGAAGAUUUUCCUGCUCCACCCAGAAGAUAGGUUGAUCCCGUUACCAUAUUAUUAGGCCAUCUGUUUCAGGUAAAUCUUUCAUGCAAGCAGCUUGCUGGAGUUCCUAAAGGUCAGACAGAGAGUAUGUAUUGAUACUUCACCCAAUUUACAAGAAGAGGCUAUGUGACUGUUUUGACCCCUGAUUGCUAAUAACUGCAUGUGUCAGAAUUUAGUCUGACAGUUACCUUCACUGUAAUGUUCUACCUAGUAAGGAGGUUGUGGGAGAGGCGACCUAUAGCCCUCACUUACCUCUAAUCUUUAGAGGCUCCCUAAGUCUACCAAAAACAAUGGGUUUAGGUCUAUUUGCAUCACAUUUGCAAAGGCCUGCAAGACCCUAGAUAAUCUGACUUUUACCUACCUCUCUGAACUCAUUUCUUACCCCAUUCUCUCACUUGUCUCUAGAAACACUGGCUGUAUUCAUUUGUUAGGGCUGCCAUAACAAAGUACCACACACUGAGUGGCUUCAACAGAAAGAAGUUUGUUGUCUCACACUUCUGGAGGCUAGAAGUCCCAGUUCAAGAUGUUGACAGGGACUUUUCCUUCUCAGAGCUGUGAAGAAUCUGUUCCAUGCCUGUCCGCUAGCUUCUGAUGGUUUGCUGGCAAUCUUGGGUAUUCCUUGGCUUAUAGAACCAUCACAGUGAUCUCUGCUUUCAUCUUCACAUGGUGUUCUCCCUGUGUGCAUGUAUGUGUUCAAAUUUCCUCCCUUUAUAAUGACACUAGUCAUAUUAAAAGCCCACCCUACUCCAGUAUGACUUCAUCUUAAUGAAUUACAUCCAAAUAAGGUUGCUUUCUAGUGUACUGGGGGUUCUGCAUACAAUUUUUUUUUUUUGGCCACGCCACAGGGCUUGUGGGAUCUUAGUUCCCUGACCAGGGAUUGAACCUGGGCCCUCGGCAGUGAAAGUGCUGAGUCCUAACCACUGGACCACCAGGGAAUUCCCCUGCAUAUGAAUUUUAGAGGAGAUACAAUUCAACCCAUAACACUGGCCUUCUUGCUGUUCCUCUAGUACACCAAGCUCAUUUCCACCUCAGGUCCUUUAUAUGUAUUAGUUCUCCCUCUAGAACGCCAAAGAAGCAUGACUGUUCCCUUCUCAGAAUACAAGUGUCAUAUGUCAACUACUCAAAGAAGUCUUCCCUGAUCAUCCUAUCUAAAAUAGCCCCUCCACCACACACAUCAUGGUCUAUUCCCUUCCCUGUUUCAAUUUUCUUCAUAGCACUCCUCAUUACCUGAAGUAUAUUUCUUUUUAUUUGUUUUUAAUCUGUCUAUCCCACCAAAAUAUAAGUUCCAUAAGGACAGAGAGCUUGUAUAUCUUAUUUACUGCUGUAUCAUCAGCUCCUAACACAGUGCCUGUUAGAGAGUAAGUAUUUAAUAAAUGUUUGUUGAGUGAACAUUGAAUGAGCAAAUGCUUACUUUGUUGAUUCUCUGAUUUAGUCUCUGGAAAGCCCAGUAGAAUCAAGUUUUCCCUGAGAAAAUGGAACUUACCCCAAACUCCUCAAGAUAUUCAUUUUCCCCCUUGGAAAUGAACUAAUUUAUAAUCCAAUUAUAAAACAGUAAAAUAAUAUUCCUCGUCUCCCCCAAAGUUACCUGUUUUUCCUCUCUUUAUACUACCAGGAAGCCACCUGAGGGUAGCAAAAAAUCAGAGUGAAGAGAGGUCAGUUCCAAGGCAGAGGCACAUUUUCAAUCUUUCCUCAAAGAUUGUCUGCCACCUGCUCUGUCUCCAGCCUGGCUAGUUUUUUUCCCUUCUGGUAGGCGCACAUUAACAGGCCUAGCUGGACUACCUAUUAGGAAAAAUAGGGGAUCCCUUUUCAUUGAAUCAGCUUGCUCAGAAAAGGCCAAGGACCUAAGCUGAGUUCCAAUUGAGAUUUCUAAAUGUGAGAGCCUUAAGUUGGAGCAAUGACUAUAUUUUGUUCUUAUUUUUUUUAAGAGCAGUCCACUUUGAGAUCUGACCUGCCACCUGCCUCCCAGCUCUCAGCUGUAUGACCUCUGACAGGUGCUAAGAUAAAGUGGUAGCUAAACAAAGUCUCUAGGGGUUUUAUGAUUAUUGUUUGUUUUCAUAUUUCCUUAACAAUCAAAAGAAGGGCUCCAGCCCGGAAUCUUGAUGUUUAUUUCACUUAAACUGAGGCUUUUCCUGUAAUAAAAAAAAGGGGGAUUGUGUGUGGUUUGCGAUCCGGGAAGAUUCAAGCAAGGGGGGAAGGAAGGAAGUUUAGUUUCUAAACCAUUUCUUAAAGGACAAAUCUUUGUUAAAUAAAGGAAUCUAAUUAAACCAUUUUGUGAGACCAAUUCCCAACUUUUUUUCCAUUUAAUCUUUCUCCCAACCUGCUUAAGUGUUUGAGCCCUUGUGAGUUGCAGACUCUGUAAGAGCAACACUUCUCAAAUUUAAUGUGCACAUGAAUCACCUGGUGAUCCUGUUGAAAUGAAAAUUCUGAUUCAGUAGGUAUGGAGAGGGCAUUAUAGGUGGAUCAAGUGGGUCUUCGGGCAUUCACUUUGGCUUCAGUCCACCUCCAAACACCCAAUGUACCCCUGUUUUCCAAAGUCCUCUGCUACAGUACCCCAUUCUAACUACUCCUUAUUGCCAGAUGCCCCAGGAAUCUGUUAUAGGUCCCCUUCUCUCUGGAUCCUGCCUUCUGUGAAAAUAUGAGUUACAGGUGAUAGUGGGUUGAUUCGUUACUUCCCUCUCUCUCCUUAGAGCAGAGGCUUCAUCCCCCACCCCACCCCUCCAUCAGUACAAGAUAACAAUGGAAUUUAAUUAUAGCCUCUGGGAGCAUAGCUUUUUAAUUCCAAUGGUAAGAAUUUCCUACCCUAUGACAGACUAAUGAAAAGGCUGUAUUUUAGUGGGGUGGGGAAGAGGAAUGUCAUUUUGAAUUUCUCAAAAAAUUAUACAACAUAGGAGACUGCCUGCCUGACUUACUUAUACUUUCUCCUCUACCUCUCAUCUGCCUUGGUCUCAUUAAAGGCAACAUUUUCUUAUUUUAGAAGUGGAACCAUGAAUCUGUCAUAUUUCCAUCCAUUUCAUAUUUAUGUACAAAGAGUUGCAAUUCCAUAGCAAGACAAGCAACAGAGAUCUGAGUUAAGGUUUCCCUGUUGAUGACAGUACAUUAUUCGGUGUUUACAGAAGGUAAAAGGAUCCUGAUACUAUUUGACCAAUAUUUCACCCAAUAAUUUUUCUAUAAUUUCCUCAUUUAGGUAGAAUUGAAACUAGUUAGGUAAAACUACUUAUUUAAGCUUUCAACCCACAGCACAAAAUACUUUAUAGGGCAGCCUAUUCUCAUGCUCAUUUUUUCUUUUUUUUUUGCGGUACAUGGGCCUCCCAAUGCCGUGGCCUCUCCCGUUGCGGAGCACAGGCUCCGGAUGCGCAGGCUCAGUGGCCGUGGCUCAUGGGCCCAGCCGCUCCGCAGUAUGUGGGAUCUUCCCGGACCGGAGCACGAACCCGUGUCCCCUGCACCGGCAGGCGGACUCUCAACCACUGCGCCACCAGGGAAGCCCUCAUGCUCAUUUUUUUAACGUCUUUAUUGGAGUAUAAUUGCUUUACAAUGGUGUGUUAGUUUCUGCUUUAUUACAAAGUGAAUCAGUUAUACAUAUACAUAUGUUGCCUCCUCCCAUGGACACACCAAAAUUACAAUUAUUUACAGAGAAAUUAUUGAUCAGAAGAACAAAAGACUAGCAGAAAAGAUCUACAAUUAAAGAUAUAGAGAAGGAACCAUAAUGAGAUGGGACAAAAGAUGAAACAUCAAGAAAAAGAAAGAGAAGAAAAAAUGAAAGAAACAAGUUCAUACUAUCACCUUUGCAAGAGGGGCUGAAGCCAGGUUGAACUUUUGAUUUCCAAAACUUAGUCUUUUGGUGUAAGGUGGCCAAACAAGGAUGCAGAGCCAAGCACUGUGAAACCUACAGACACAUUGAAGAGCUCAGGGAAUACGACGUCUUUCCCACCAUGUCAAAACUCCUGAAACCAAUCUCCACAUCCUCUGUAACCACACAAUAAAGACUUGGGAAAUCACACCAGAAAGAAAGGAAGGAAGGAAGGCCAGAAACUAGACUAGGCACCUCUCAAAGAAGAAAACUCACUCAAAUGGCCAACAGUUGAAUUAAAAGAUGCUCAACUGGGAGUUCCCCGGUGGCCUAGUGGUUAGGAUUCCAGGCUUUCAAUGCCAUGGCCCGGGUUCAAUCCCUGCUGUGGGAAAUGAGAUCCCGCAAACUGUGGGAACUACAUGUGCCAACAUGUAUGAAUCUCAGAGACACAAUGUUGAGUGAAAGAAGCAAAUCACAGGAGCAUAUAUACAUACAAACAGAUUCCAUUUACUUAGAGGUUCAAAAACAGGAAAAACUAAACAAUAUGUUGUUUAGGAAUGCAUUUAGUUAGUAAAACUGUAGAGAAAAACAGGGCAAUGAUUACUCCAAAUUUCAGGAUAGUAGUUACAUCUGAUGGGGGAGAGACUGGGGAAGAAGGGAAAUCGUGAUCACAGAGGGACACAGAGAGGACUUUAAGAUACUGGAAGUAAAUAUUCAAUUUUUUAAACCUGGGUACUGAGUACAUAGUUAUUCAUUCCUUAAAAUUAUUUUUUAAAUUACAUAUAUAUGUUUUAUAUAUUCUUCUGUGUAUAUUUCACCAUUUUAGAAAAGGAAAAAUAUCAGUGCCCAGAACUGAACACACAACUCUAGCUAAUCCAUCAUACUAGAAUACAAUCACCUCUCUCGUUUGGAAUACUUUGCCUCUGUUUUUUUUGAACCGAGGUGUUCAUUUGUACCUGCUAAAUUUUCUUUUAUUUUAUGUGGCCAUUUUUUUCACUUGUCCUUCCAACCAGUCAAGCGCUCCCCAGUGCCAGAUCAUCUUCCAGGAGAACUGGUAAACAAAGUUUCUGAGCUAGCCAGGCUGAGGUCCAAAUUGCAGCAGGCAGCUGCAGCAGCUCUUCUGAAAGCCCACCUUAAAGCAGCUUACUUAACAUGCGUGCGUUCUGCCCUGCUUUUCCUGAGAUCAUCUGUUUAUAGCCUCAGCCUAAAAUCUUCCUUAUGAGAAGCCUUAGCGAAUGUCUUAUCAAGGAAGACAAUGCCUCACAUUAAAUCAUGUUGAUAAGUUGAUGGGAGAGAACAUUCUCACCCAAGAAGAUUGUUAUUUCCUGAAGGGAUAAAACCCCACCAGGGAAAACACCUGUGGUACUUAUAGGUAGGGCUGGUCUACCAAAGCUGAUAACAUAGUUCUGACCAGAGGAGGAAGGCAGAGUGCAUGUAUUCAUUCCUGAAAGCUUUGUGGGUAGGUGUGCAUCUUUCACAUAUUAAAGAUUCACAGUCCCUGAGCUGGACAGAGGUGCCAACCCUGAAGAAUCUCUCCAGAAUCCAAGUUGCUGAAUCUUCCCUGCUGCCUACAGAGGCUCCAAACCACCACUUGACAAUGGGAAACUGGGUGGUUAACCAUUGGUUCUCAGUUUUGUUUCUGGUAAGUGAUGUUUCACUUUCUAAUGAUUACUCUUAGAGUAAGGAGACAUUAUGUUUGUUAAUAUUUGUGAAGUUACUUGAAAGGGAAAGAUUCCAUGCCAAUAUUGAGCUCAUCAAGGCCAGUUAUCAGCUGAAAGGUCCAACUCUAUGAUUACAUAUAUGUUUUAUACACUUUUCUGUGUAUGAUAUAUUUCAGCAUUUUAGAAAAGGAAAAAAGUCCAACUCCAGAAAUUGAUUGGUAAAGAGACAAAAAUAUAAACCACAAGUAUUUGGAAUUUCAGUCUGUUUUCAUUUUUUGUCUUCUCUUUUUCUCUUCCAUUUCACUUCUAACUAGUGCCAUGGAGCAUUCAUUUCUCUCCAUUCUUCUUAUAUUGCUCACAUCAAGAAAUAAUAAAAUUGAAUGUUUGAGAUAUAAGUGAUCUUAGAGAUUAUGGUCCAGUGCUGUCCACUAGAAAUAUAAUGUAACAUCACAUAUGUAAUUUAAAAAUUGUCUAAUACCUAGACAAUUGAAAAAGGUAAGAAAUAGGUGAAAUUAAUUUCCAGUAAUAUAUCUUGUUUAACCCAAUAUAUCAAAAAGUUAUCCUUUCAACCUGUAAUCAAUAUGAAAAUAUUAAAUGAGAUAAUUUAUAUUCUUUUAUUUUUACUAAGUCUUUGAAAUCCGAUGUGUAUUUAAUACUUACAGCACAUCUCAAUUAAAACUAGGCAUAUUUCAUGUGCUUAGUAGCCGCAUGUACUUAGUGGCUACAGCUUUGUGUAGUGCAGACCAACUCUUUGAUUUUAUAAGGGAAAAUAAGACCUAGACGUCACACAGUGAAUUGAUUGCAGAGCCAUCACUCAAAGCUAGCUCCCCAGGGUUCAAGCCAGAAUGCCUUUACCACACCACAUAUGCACAAUCCCCUUCUAAUGCACUCUCUAACUGAACUCUAGUUUCAGUCCUGCUAUUAAUUGAGUGACCUUGAUCAAAUUAUUUAUCCUCUCUAGCCUUCAGGUCACCUGUGUGUGUGGGGGGGUUGAUGAAAACUAGAUUAGAUAUAAGUGUGUUUCUAGGUCUAAAAUCCUCUGCAUUUUUUAUCCCUCUCUUAGGUUUUGCUUGGAGAGUUCAUCACCCCUGGUGGUGAUGAUGAUGUAACUAGCUUUGAUUUUUCACCUUGCACCAAUCCACUGGCAGGCUCAGACUUCUUGUUAUCUCUGACAUACACUCCUUUGAACUAUUAUUUUAAUGAAAAAUAAAUUACCCCCAAAAUAUUUUUACUCUUCCUGCCAGGUCUUCUACUCUUUCUUUUCCAUUCAUAGUGGAGGAAAUUACAGUCAAGGUGGGGAAUGGAAUUCCUUACUCUCAGAUGUCACUGUAUUUCAUCAUUCAUCUUACAUACAGUUGAUGAUGUGCUGACACAGAGGUCUUUACCUCUGUGUCCCUCUCAGAUUCUGAAAUAUUUCUGCUCCCUCUAAAUAAGCUUCUCUCCUUUGUCUUCUGAACUCUUGAAGUAUCUGUGGCUUUCACCUCUCUUUUUCCAUUAAGGUCAAAUGAUCUCUGGAAGACACACAACUCUGGAAAGGGUGUGUGGGCAAAGAAUGCAGGAAGAAAUUGAUUGGUAAAGCCAGUCUGGUGAUGACACAGGCAGAAUUUAUUGAGCUUCUACUAUGCACCAAGCACUGUAUUAAUCACUUCACGUACAUUAUUGCAUGUAAGCCUCACAGCAUUGCUGUGGGGUAGAUAUAGUUAUUGUCCGCAUUUUAUAGGUGAAGAAAUUGAGGUUCAGAAAAGUUAAAUCACAGAUCUAAGAUUACAGAGCUAGAAAGUGGUGGAGCUAGAAUUUGAGCCCAAGGAGUUUGACUCCAAUAUCACACUUCGAAUCACUAUGUUAUGAUGCCAAAGGUGUGUGAGUGGUCCAGAUCUAGGGAAUCUGAAUGCCCCAUGUUCUAGGCUAAAGGCCCUCUACCUGUGGGGCUGAGAUGGUUCUGGACCAUCCUGGGGCCAUGGAUAUAUAUCAGAGGCAUCCCAGUGCCCUAGAGUCCUGAUCAAUUACAGACUAGCACCUUCAAGCUUGGGCUAAAGCCCACCUGGUUGUUCUCCAAGGAAAUGGACGGUAGGUUCCAAAUUUCCCUCUUUGCCAAUGUAGAGACAGAUCUUGGGACAGACAAAAGAAGUCUUAAGAGCUCAAAUGAGUCCAAAGCAAUGAUAGGUUAAUUUGAAAAAAGAAUCACAAUCUAAAAACAGGAAAGUGUAUGUCAGGAAAGUGUAUUAAAGAGGCAGGCCCAUCUGGAAUGGUUUAGUCCCUUCAGAUGGGUAUUGUCACAGAUGUUAAAUUUAUUUUCUAUUUCUUUAGAAAUCCAUUUAUUCACGUAUUGCCUUCUUAUAGGUGCAAUAGUUUGAACGCUCCAAUCCAGAAGUUGGCAAAUGUUUUCUGUAAAGAGCUAGGUAGUACAUAUUUUAGGCUUUGCAGUCCAUAUGUUCUCUGUCACAACUACUCAACACUUCCAUUGAAUCACAAAAGCAGUUAUAAACAAUACAGAAAUAAGUAGGUGUGGCUAAGUUCCAAUACCACUGUAUUUAUAGAUACUGAAAUUUGAAUUUCAUAUAAUUUUCACGUCAUGAAAUAUAUUCGUCUUUUGAUUUUUUCCAACCAUUUAAAAAUGUGAAAACAACAAUAUAUAAAAACCAUUCUUAGCUUGUAGGCUGUACAAAACGGGUGGUGAGAUAGAUUUGGUCUAUGAGCCUUGAUGUGCUGACCCUGGUCAUUAGCAUCUAAUGCAUGUCUUGAAGUCCUAACUGACUCAGAGUAAGUUGACUCAUUUAAAAUGAAAACAGAUAUGGGAAUUCCCUGGCGGUCCAGUGGUUAGGACUCUGCACUUCCACUGCAGGGGACAGGGGUUCUAUCCCUGGUUGGGGAACUAAGAUCCCACAUGUUGUGUGGCACACCCACCACCCCCAAAAUGAAAACAGAUAAACACAAAAUAGCCAAAUGGUAACACUAUUUUCUACCCCUUAUCUACUCUUUCCUGUACCCAAAUUUCACUUUAUCCCUUGCUUAAUUUUUCUUC